rnacentral:rRNA from 1 species
GACGAACGCCGGCGGCGUGCUUAACACAUGCAAGUCGAACGCUGAACCCGCUUCGGUGGGGGAUGAGUGGCGAACGGGUGAGUAACACGUGGGCAACCUGCCCCCGGCUCUGGGAUAACUCCAAGAAAUUGGGGCUAAUACCGGAUGUGACCGCUGGCCGCAUGGUCUGGUGGUGGAAAGGGUUUCCGGCUGGGGAUGGGCCCGCGGCCUAUCAGCUUGUUGGUGGGGUAGUGGCCUACCAAGGCGACGACGGGUAGCCGGCCUGAGAGGGUGACCGGCCACACUGGGACUGAGACACGGCCCAGACUCCUACGGGAGGCAGCAGUGGGGAAUAUUGCGCAAUGGGCGGAAGCCUGACGCAGCGACGCCGCGUGGGGGAUGACGGCCUUCGGGUUGUAAACCUCUUUCAGCAGGGACGAAGCGCAAGUGACGGUACCCGCAGAAGAAGCACCGGCCAACUACGUG